AAAUGAGGCCUGUCUAUGUAUAAAUCCAUACCUUGAUCUAAAAGCACAUUCAUUCAGGUUCAGGGCCAAGGUGUAGAAAGCUGGCUCUUAAAAACAGGCUCCUUCCAUUCCAGCAAACAGUUGCUCCAAACCAAAGCAAGCUGAUGAAAGCAAGUUUACAAUGAACUGCCUUCAAGAAAAAGGUGGAGCAGACUUGGAGUGUUACAUGAAGAAAAUACUAAAAGAAAAAAAAAAAGGAAGGAAGGAAGGAAGGAAGGAAGAGAAAGAAAAUGCUGGAGGCUGGAUGGUAGCACACUGGGUUAAGCACACACGUCAUGGACCAGCAUAAGGAUCUGGGUUCCAGUUCCUGGCUCCCCACCUGCAGGGGGGUUGCUUCAUAAGCAGUGAAGCAGGUCUGCAGGUGUCUCUUUUUCUCUUCCCCCUUUCUCUCCUCUCUUGAUUUUUCUCUGUCCUAUCCAACAACAACAACAACAACAGCAAAAACAACAACAAUAGUAAUAAAAACAAGGGUAAGAAAAAUGGGAAAAAUGGCCUCCAGGAGCAGUGGAUUUGUGGUGCAGGCACCGAGCUCCAGCAAUAACCCUGGAGGCAAAAAGAAGAAAGAAAAUGCUUUCUAGGGGCUGGGUUGUUGAGUGCACAAGAAUUCGGGUUCAAGUCCCCAUUUCAAACCUGCAGAGGAAAAGCUGCCGGAGUGGUGAAGCAGGGCUGCAGGUGUCUCUCUUUCUCACUAUCUCCCCCUUCCCUCUUGAUUUCUGGCUGUCUCUCUACAAUAAAAAGGAUAAUUUUAAAAAUUAAAAAAAGCGAAACAAAAAAGAAAAUGCUUUCUACACUAGUGAACAUGAGCAAUAAUGCAGAGUACAUAUGUCAACAUUUCUCUUCCCUUCUCUGGCUUAAUCUCCUUUUUGUCUAUAAUUUUUUGCCCUUCCCAUUACAGAAGUUCUGCCAUGCAGACUUCUCCUAUAUCUAGCUCCUGUUGAACCUUGGCCUAGUUUCCCUUAACUUAGAACAAUAUUUUGUUAUUAAUUAUGUUACUAGUACUGGAAAUUGGCUUCAUAGAUAUAAUAAGCAUAU